GCCCAAGUGGCGGAAUGGUAGACGCAGGGGAUUCAAAAUCCCCCGCUGGCAACAGCGUGCGAGUUCGAGUCUCGCCUUGGGCACCA
rnacentral:tRNA from 4 species